ensembl:lncRNA
GGCAGUUGUAAAUAUGACAUUUGUUUAUGGCCGUGUGGAGAAGCAAUGUAAUUUGAAGACACUGGGUUAAGCGUUUGGGAGACUCAUGCUAUGGAUUAAUUCUGAUGCGUUAUUCUUUUGAGCAGGUCUGUACAGAGAACUCUGAAACAGAAAGCAAGUCAGAAGAUAAUUUCUCUUGAAGGCAUUUCAGGCACCUGCCGUUCCAAUUGGGCUCUUUUGGAAAGAAGCAUCCAGUGGGAUGAAUGCAAGAAUCAAGGCAGAAGUAGUUUGAUACGAUUUGGAGUUUCAGGACUGCAUGCUGAACUCAGCCCUAGUGCUCAAGCUUUGAGAACAUUCAAUCCUUGCAGUCUGUUCUCCUACAACCUAUAAUUGAUGAAUACCUAACUGAAGUCUGAAAUUCCUGCUGGUUCUCUUUCAGAUGAGUGGUGAGCACCAGCCUGCUGCCCCCUGCCUGUCCAUCCCCUCCCCAAGGGAUGAGGUGCAGAUGGACACAGCAUCUCUCCAGAGGCAAGAGAUGCACACAGCUUCACUUCUGGUAUCCUUGCUUGCUCAUCUGGCCAUUGUCAAGGCAGCUGUCAUCCGGGAGCCCUGGAGCUGCAAUGCAGAAGUAAGUAUCACUACCUUCAAUUUUACAGAUCAGAAAACUGAAACAGAAAUGUAAAAUGAAUCACUUCAGAUCUACUUUUCUUGUGGUGCCAUCAUUUAUAAUGUUCAGCUCUGAUCCGCACAAGUUUAUCUAUUUGACCCUAGUGCUUUUCUGCCCUUUUGGGGGGCAUUUCUUUGAUCAUUGUCAGCGUAUAUCCUCUGACAGAGCCCUGUUAGAUUUGCACAGUGGGGAGAUAAAACAAUGAGUGUGUAAGUACAGACAUGUAGCUCAUCACAAUGACAUGGCAGUAAUGCACUGAGUUCAGCUCACCCUGGAAGAUGGUCUGAUCCUUGAUAGAUUUAUCACAGCCAAAGACGUGAUUACCAAUCCCACUGCAGAUUUCUUCUAAGUUACUACUUUUCUUAAAGGCACAACGUGUCCCAAUACUUUCUGUUAGAAUUGUGAAUACUUUUGUUUCUUCUUGAAGACCCAAUGGAUUUUUUUCCAUAAACAUUUCUGAAGCCCUUUGAUUCUGGGAGGCCAUUCCAGCACAUAUAAUUUUCUCAAAAUCUUAAUCACUUUACAAAAGCAGUUUUUCUACAUCUCUGUGCCCAGAGACACUGCUGAUGCCCCAUCCCUGCAGGAGGGUUGGAACUAGGUGAUCUUCAAGCUCUCUUCCAACCCAAGCCAUUCUGUGUUUCUGCGAUAUUGUGCAGUUGCAAAUAUUCCUGUUGAACGCUUAAUUCUCUGUAGUAUUCCAACUUAGAUUUCAUCAAAGCGAGUAGAAAAAUUGAAGUUAAGUUCCUGUUACACAUAAAAGUGAAGAACAUAAGGGUUUUAAAAAAGAACAUAUGGAUACAAAUGUACAUAUUUAAACAAACAUGUUCCAAUCAGCUCAGAUUUUUCUGUUCUUUCUCCUGUGAUCAAAAUGUGAUAAGACACGGUGGAUACUGAAGUCCCUACAGGGCCAGAUCUGAGUCUUGCAAAAGAUGUUAGGAAAAUUUCCAGUGAUUUUUCUGAGUCUCAGACCAGAUCUUUGUUGUUGCGAAAACAUCAGUGAACAACAAUUCAUCUGUGUGCAAAACUCCUGUAUGUAGUUCCAGAUGCCAAAAAUUCUCUAUGCAAUUUCAAUUCUAUUUUGAAUGUAUACUUCUUCCGCUAAAUGACUUAUUAUAACCUAUGCAAAAUAACCUUAACAAAAUACAAGAAAUGUACAGCCAGGACAGUGAAUCUGUAGAGGUGAGAACAUGAACAGAGAAUUUGCCAUGGAAAUGAACAUUGAUUUUUAUGCUUUCUAUUUUUUUUCUGAUGCAGUUCUCAGAGAAUAAAUAGGAGACUCAGUUUUAAAGGGAACGGUGCUAGUCAGCUUAUACACCGCUUUCUGAGAUCCUUCUCUCAAUGUACAGGGAAAUAACUCAGUUACUAAGUACCUUAGUGUCUCCAGAGUUACAGCACCUAUGUGAGAUGAGAAUCUGUUCCUGCAGUAUGUCUUUAAUAUCAAACAUUCAGGCAAUUCAAGAUUUUAGCACUGGAAUAUCCAAAUCUCAUAAAGAUGAGUAAUGCUAUGAUUGCAGAUGUCUUCUGUGGUGUUCAUGUGCUGCUUGUUUGUGGAGAAGGAUCAUUUUUAUACCUUAAGAAAGAAUAGCCAUCUCCCUGAGGUACCUUCUAAUGAUGCCACAAGCGCAUUGCAAUACAUAGUUAAUGGCAGCUUUGUAUUGAUAAUGGACUUCUAUGAAUCAUGAGGAGCAUUAAAAAGAAAACACUUUCUUAUCUGUAUGUUCAGAUGCUUUCUAAUUGCUCACGUGUAUUUCAAAUAACUUUGCAAUUCCUUGUAUUGCAUUAUUCAGAUUUCCUAGUGUCUCACAGAAAAAUAAUUGAAACGCAACCAAAAGAUUUGCACACCAUUAUGGGGAAUACUUUGUUCUUCACAUUCUGUAUCUUGUUAAUAAAGGAUAAGAACGUGCACAUGUACAUUGCCCUCAAUUUUAUUUUCUACUUUCAAAUGUAGCUAUUUUUCAUCUGUAAUAGGUUGUAGAUGUACCAACUUCUCAAUAACAGUAGAACUGAGGGGAAAAACAUAGAGCAUUAAAACAACAAGAAAAAAUAUUGAGUAUUUUCUGGUGAAGCGGAUUGUGUUAGAAACUAUCAUUCAAAUUCCAGUGAGAGCUGAGGACUUCCCAGAUCUCACAUUCUCAACACAGACUGUAGGGCUCACUGUUUCCUGUACUGCACAGUCCUGGGGAUGUUCUACAGCUACUGACAGCUAUAUUUGAAGUGCUGGAAGAUUUAAAGGAAAAUACCUUUAUAAGAACACUUGUAUUGUUCAUCUUAAUAUUUAAGCUAAAAUGUCCCUUGUUUUCUUGUGGGGAAAAAGAACAUGAAUGGAAAGAAAAGAGCAUGUGAUAGGUGCCAUCUGUUCUCUCUUUCUCUCCCCCUUGCUCUCCCCUCUCCCAUAUUUUUCCUCUAAAAAAAAAAUAUAUAUAUAUAUAUAUAUUUAUAUAUAUAUAUAUAUAAAUUGAAAUUGGUAACUGUGGUUACCUGCCAGGCCUCUUUCAGGGAACAAAGUGAGACAGAAGGGUAGCAGGACUGUGGGUUGCCUGAGGGCCUAGGGAUGAAAUCUCACUUCUGUGCUAGAUGGUCACAACUCUUGGCUAUUCAGUCAUGAGACAGCAAAGGCUUUCAAGGAUCAACAACAAAUUUAUGGUAAAGCAAAAGCAAGAAAAGAUAUGAGGAGUUUCCUGCAAGAGGAUAUUUCCAACAUGAGCUUGUCCAUCCACUGCUGCUGGAAAAGACAAAUUUGCAAAAUUUCAGGCUCUCAAUAGGUCAUCCAGUCUUCCUCCUACAAACAGAAUAUCUGCUCUGGUCCUGACAGUUGUUUGUCUAGUCAGUACUCAAAGAUCACCAUUGAUGGAGAUCAUUCUGCCUCCAGGCAAUCUGUAUUCUAUAUCUCUUUUCCUGAGAGAUUUUUCUUUGUAUGUGUCUUGAAUAUUCUGUGUAGCUGCUACUUGACCUAUUCACUGAGGACAUGGAAAAUAUUUUUUCUUUUUUCAUAAGGAGUUUGCAAGUCAACACACCUGAUGGUUUUUUUUGUUGUUGUUUUUUUGUAUCUUGCAUUUUUCAAUGUGUGAUGUGUACCAGUAAGAGCAAUAAUGGGAAUUCAGAUCUGAAAACAGUGCCUGACUCUACUGUACCAUCAAUUGUCAGCUGUGGAUGCUAAAAGACCUAAAAGUUUGAAGUUCAGACUGGAGUUCAGAUGGUGUAUUUUGGCUGGGGUCCAGCAUUACUAGAAAUCCAUCUUGACGUAGAGAGAGCAGCCGUAACAAGCUGGGCUGAUGGGCUGCCAGCCAGGCUCUUCUAAAGUAGUGGAAGAAACCUGUUUCAUGAGUUGGGUAUAAACUAUUUAACAGAGCCAGAGACAAAAUGCAUCCCAACAUCAAUGUCCAGGAUUACCAGCUGCUCACACAGCUUGUCUGGGGGCAUCCAGAAUGCCAGGAAAUGCCUGGUAGCUGUCGUGUAUGUGUGUGUGUGUGUGUAUAUAUAUAUAUAUAUUCUGUGAGGCACAAAGAAAUUGCAUCAAGGACUUUCAAACUACAAAACAUCAGAAAAUGCUACGAAAUACUUUUGGAAGUCAAAAACACUUUGAGGAGUAAUCUCGGCCUCAUAGGACAGCAUCCAUGAUGCUGGACACUUGGUUCCCAUUCCAGUUUUUGCCACUCAAGUAUGGAUGCAAAAUACAGAGGCAUAUUGUCUGCUGUCAUAACUCAUCUGCGAAGCAGAUGUUUCUUUUGGGGGAAUUAUUCAUGCUAAAGAUCACACUUCAAAGUAAACAAUAAUUGUCAUUUGUUGCCUGUUAAAAAAAGAAAAAAAUGAAAGCUGGAAAUCAAACUAAUGAGUACAUUUCCUCAAGGGAACAGACAGAACUGGGAAUAUGAUCAUUUUGCAAAGCUUCUGAUAAAUACAUAGGUUGCUCUGAAAGAAAUGCUGCUUUAUUUCUGUGGCAACUACACUGGAUGCAAAGAACACGAUAACACUGAUAGAGCACAUUUUCAGCUACAAAACACUUUUUCAACAUAGUCACCACCAUUAGCUGUGUAUUUUUGCCAACUAUGAAGAGGACUCUGCGUGCUGUGCACAAAAAAUUCUGCACAAGCAGAUGCGACCCACUGUUUCACAGCUGUUACGGUGGCAUCACUGCUAGGAAAAUGUUGCCUACGCGGUCCGUCUGAACAGAUGGAAGUUGGAAGGCACCAAUUCCAACUGUAUGGUGGAUGUGGUGGGACAGUCCAGCCAAGAUUGACAAUGUGUUCCAUGGUCUUCAAACUGGUACAGGGCCUGGCGUUACUGGAUUGUGAGAGAAAUGUUGUCGUCUUCUCUGGCCUGACUCUAUUAGUUUGAGCCCCCAGCUCAGUGAGCAUUGUGAUGUAGCAGUCAGGAUCUGCACUCUACCUUAGCUUUGUGAACCCAGUUCUGGAUAUAAUGUCUCAAUUUACACAGGCCAGGAAGUCUGCAAAGAGAGUAAGCUACAGUAGAUUUUCUGAUGAGCCACUGCUUUACAGCCUCCUGGUUAAGACUUCAUUUCAGGAAGCUAAUAUGACUUUAUAAAAACCAAAAGUAGCUGCAUUUGAACUUACUAUAUGGUUUAUCCCACAGGACAGUUCUCAACUACCUUGAGUCAAGUACAGGUUGAAUGGUGGCCUCUAAGAGUUCAUGAAUAACAUGGGAAAUCAGACUUGUCAUAUGGUUCUGGGACUCAGACACUGUGUCUCUACUAAUAAGUUAAAUGGUGCCAAGGAACGUUCCCAGGAGCUGGACCCAGGCUGUCUGUCUGUGUAGCUGCACUGCCAGAGCGAUCCUUUUGCCAUAGAGAUGCAGACCUCUAUUUUGAUAUUUGAUAUUUUGGAUUUGCUGAAUGACCACAGCCAACAAAAUUAUUUCAUCAGCUAGUUUCUGACCUUUAAUAUCUGACCAUAUAUUUUAAAGUGUGAGAGAUACCUAUUUUACAUUUACUCCAGCUCCAUAAGGAAUGCUGUACGGACAGGAAUUCAGCAGAAAAUUUCCACUUAUUUACCAUUUACUGUCACUGAAAUUCAAGAAGUUAUUUCAAAAAAUGAGGAAAAAAUACUGUGAUUUCUACUAUUUGUUUCUUCUUGGAAGUUCCAUGGAUCAUUUAUCAAUGAACAAAAGGCUAAUUAAAAGGCUAGACCUAGUGCAAUUACUUUGAUGAACUUUGAGAGUGGUUGUUUAAUGCCAUAGCCUUCAUUAUGUUAUGCUAAAUAUGUUCUCUGCAAGUUUGCAUCCCAAAGAUGAUGCUGUUUUUGUUGGACUAGCUUGAGGAAAAAUGCUGUAUGUUUGAGCUCUUGGGAUGAGUGUCUUACUUGGAAGGUAGGAAGAAAAUGUUGAUGUUCUCUGGAUUUGUGUGUGUUAAAGCUGACAAUUCAAGACAUGUCUGUGGUAGUUUUAUUCCUUAGCUCCUAACAGAAACCUGUCUCCCUGAGCUGAUUCCAGAUUUAUAAGCACAGUGUGUACAUUGUUACAGCACAGAGCGCAGGAUAAUUAAACAGCUGCUUAGCACUGAGCUCCUUCAUUCUUCAAUAAGCAGAUGUUUUGUCUUGUUGCUGAUUUCAAACAACCCACGAUAACAUACUAUAUGCAUAGCAUUACUCAUAUUUUUAAUAUUUUGGUGCGUUCCUAUCCAAAGAUCAAAGCUCCAUGCCCCAUUACAUGAGGUUCUGCACAGGCCGUUAGCACAGAAGAGAUCUUAAGUGAGUGCCAAUCAGUGCGUCUCCACUGAAUCCAGGGGAGCAACAGCAGUUCGCGCUGGCUGACAUUUCCCUUGCAGAUGUCAGACGAGAUGCCAUGAUUUACAUACCAAUGGCGGUGAGUGGGAGGAUGAAGUAACAAGAGGAGCAGAAAUGUGCAGGGAUGCAGAAGUCGGAGCUUGCCAUUUGCCUUUCUCCUGCAGCUGAACAAUGGCAAUCUGAGUUAUUCAUUCCCAUCCACCUCUUAACAACAGGAUUCGCUUCUGAUGAUAUCUUGUGGCCUUUUGAGUAUGUUAGCAGAGGAACUAGAUUCUUUUCUGUAUUUGCCUUCUGUGUUAUCAGACACAAUAAGCAAUUCCCAAAAGGCAGAUGAGGUGAAUAAAGCAAAGUAUCAGGUUAAAUGAUGUAUAUUCCUUAUCCAUUUAGGAAGGUGUUUAUGCAUCGUCGUUUUAUGCUUUGUAUUUGCUGGAUUUAUGAGUGGCAUUUGUGUGCAGAGCCAUGAAAGCAGAUGGAGCCCCAAAGGAGGAGCCCUUCUAUCCCACCCUGUUUGUGGUCUCCCUGUCUGCUGCUGAAGCUGCUUCCUGGGGCAGUGCGUUCAGCAGCUGCUAAGAGCGUGUAAAUAGAAGGAGAAAUGUUAUAAAUGUCAGGAAGUGGCAGCCAGACUGUUCCAAGGUUGCGUACUGCGUGCUUGUGAAGCAAGAUGGCCUGACUCCAUUAUCAGUGUUGUCCAUCAAACGCUGAUUUCCAAAGGUCUGUAUCUUCCACUUACUGAUAUUUCCAUUUGUGUACUUCACUGGGAAGAGUUUCAGACAAUGUUGAUAAUUUUGGACUUCCUGAUCCUUAGGAGGAAUAAAUUUGCCCUGCUAGGGAACGCACUGUUCCUAUCCCUAACUGAGUUAUACGCAUUCGUACGUAAUCUCAGUAUAACUAUAAUGGGAAUACAAUUUAUACUUUAAUUUAUGCUUGUUCUCUGGUUGGGAAAAUGCCCAUGAACUGUGAGGAAGCAGAUCUGCUUGUUCUAUAGAUAAACUGUUGUUGUAUGUGGUUCACAUCCUGCAUUUUUAUGUAUCGUUCCAAUUCCUCAGCUGUUUCCAAUUCAUGUACCUUUCUGAAAGUGAAUGAAGCAGCUGUGCCAAAUUCAGAGCCUGGCUGAGUCCAGCUUCAUGUCUGGAGGAGCUGAAUUUCCCAAGGCUGGUGCUUCACCAUUAACUGAUGCAGAAGAAAUUAGAAUUCCUCUUUCCCUUUCACAUAAUGGCAGAAUUCUGAAAUUAUUGUGUAACAUGCCCUUCCUCCCAUUACACGGUCUUCAUUCUGUUCACCAUUAUUUUUAAUAGACCAAUUUUCUCUCUUGCUUUUCAUCCACCGAGUCUUUACUAUUAUUAUCAUCAAAGUGUCUGUGGGCUGCCAGCAUUUGAUAUUUCAUUUCACUGAUUUAAUUAUGUCUGCAGCCUGUUCUGGGGCUGUUUAUUUUUAUAGAUCUCCGAAUCCUCUUCUUUAUCAAAUUGUUUACAUCUGAAUCCAUUUGUUCACUGUUUAUAUGUCACUUUGCAAUUGUAUCCUUUUGUACUUUGCAUUUGUUCCUGAGGGGUGUUUUAGUUUGAUCAAAUUUUACAACUUUGCAGGCAGACAACUAAAAGGAGAUCUUCCUAUCUAGGGGUGAAAGGCAGCUCUGGACACAGCUAACACCAUCUGCUUUUUCACUUUAUGCUUCCUGUGGGCAUAUGUGAGCAUGGAGCCACGUCUGUUACCAGCUAUUGGGAACUGACAGCUCAUGGGAAGCUGGCAGAGUGUUAGAUUAAAGGAAGAGAUGUUUUACACACCUUGCUCUUCCAUGUGCAGUUUACAUAGGGUAUAAAUACAUAGGUAAUGUAGGGUAUAUGUAAACAGGGUGUUUACUGAGCUUAGUUUAGUUUCCAAAGAAUGGAGGUUCUUUGGCUCUGGGCAGCCUGGUCUAGAGGCUGGCAACCCUGCCUGUGGCAGGGGGGUUGAAUAUAGAUGAUCUUUGAGGUCUUUUUCAACUUUUCAACCCAGGCCAUUCUAUGAGUCUGUGACGCUUUACUGCAGAGGGUUGCAGAAGAGGAUGACAGCUUUGAAUUUUGCUGACUGACCUCCUGUCACUGCAACUACUUUAGUAGUGGUGAUGCACGUAUGCGUGCACGUGCUGUAGUUCUGUUGAGUUUCUUGCUUCUACUAUAAUUAAGAGUCCAUAAAUAAGUGCUUCUAAUGCACUUGACUAGAGAAAGUAAUUGCUAUUUAAAUGGAUAAUUUAUUGUGUGCUAAUUAAAAGCCCAAUAGGUGAGAACAUUUUAAUGAAAUGUAACUUAACUCAAUAAGGAGGUUUUUAAUAAUCAUUAGUUGCCUGAAAUAUACCUGAUGCAGCAGUUCUCUAAUGACAAGCUCUAAUUGAUGUUUUUAACAUGUAUUUAUUGUGGAUAAAUUGCUAUUUUGUUGUAUAUCUCUCUUUCCCUGUCUUUCAAAUGCACAGCUUCCCAGCUGGAGGCCCCAUUGUGCCUUAUUACAGUCUAUUCUUCCCUGCUUUGGCAACCCCUUUUGCUGGUCAACUCAUCUCAGUUACACUCGCAUGAAGCAGGAUGUGAGCAAACAGAUGUGGGGAGCUGCCAGUUUCUACCAAAGAAAAGGUGCUAGCUUUUAAUUUCAGUUGACUAUUAGAACGUACAGUAGAGAUCUGCCUUCUUUCCCUGUUUGACUUACAGUAUGAGGCAAAGAAACCCUCGAAGUGUCCAGGGUUCCAAGUGCUCAUCUUAGAGCAGAAUGAUUAUGCAAAAAUGGUAAACCUCAGUGUCUCUAGGUAAUAAAUUUCACUUUCAAAGAAGGAAGCUUAAGAACAGGCUGGAAAGUGAAUGUGCCUCACACAAUGGAGCAGCGUGCCAGCUUUGUUUGAAUUGAGCAACCUGGAAGAAUCUGAGCUGGGAACAAGUAGCAUCUGAUUUAAGGACUGAGAGAGUAGAUGGCUGAUUUUCUUCGCAAAAAUAGCAUGAGAAAGCUGUACUGACCUUUCCAGGAUGAGAGGUAAUGGCUUAAAUUGCCCCAAGGGAGGUUCAGGUCAGAUAUCAGGAAGAAUUUCUUCUCAGAGCAAUGAGGCAUUGGCACAGGCUGCCCAGGGAAGUGAUGGAGUCACUGUCCCUGGAGGUGUUCAGGAGAAGCAUAGAUGUGGCACUGAGGGACCUGGUUUAGUGGACACGGGGGGGAAUGGGUUCGUGGUUGGACUGGGUGAUCUUAGUAGUCUUCUCCAGCCUUUAUGAUUCCAUAAUUUCACUGUGCUUUUCUGGUGUCUUUUUCCAGCACUGGGCAAUGACUGUUCUUAUGUUUCUGAGAAUUUAAAGAAUGGUCUUCUGAGACUGAAAUGCACAGGACGUAGAGCGGAGGCUGUUAGUAGCUCUGGUGGGAUGGGGUAACCCUUAAAAAGUCACUGCACUUUCCUGGGCCUCCUUUUCCCCCACUGUUAAAUGGAGAUAACUACAUGUUUCCUUCAUGAAGCCAUUUGGUAUGUCUUGUUGAAAAAUCUAUAUAUAAGUGUUCAUCAUUUUUGUCACUCAGGCACUGAUAUAGGAAUUUCUGGAGCACUCCUACAUGUUGAGAAUCACACUGAUACUGUGGAUGAGAAUAUUAAAUUCUGGUGCUGAACCUGGCUAAUUUGAAAAUGACGUAUUUUUCUAGAGUGAUGCCUCAGAUGCAUCUUAUAUAAGAAAAUGAAUUACAUUUAUAGCUAGAAAGGACUGCAGGAUUUUAUGAUCAUCUCAGCACUCCUGUAUUUAGUAAAUUAUCUUGUGUUUGAUUAUGACAGGGUACCUCUUGGCUUAUGUCAAAGUUCUUGUUUCCUGGAGUUCUCCCUGUUUCCUGGAAACUAAACUCUGGUGGAAAGCAUUUGUUACUUUGGUUGUUUUUUUUUCUUUUUCUUUUUUUGGUCUGAUUUGUUUGUUUGGGUUUUUUUUUUUUUUUUUUUGUCUUUUAAGUCUAAACAACCCAUUGGUCCUACAGCUCUUUGGUUCCUGCCACUGAAAGGAGAUACCCAUAGAUUAAAUAGUUAAAUAUGAAACCCCCUUGGGGUUUGAUCUGAUGAAGAUGAUGCUUAUUUAGAGAAGGAGCAAAUACUUUAACAAGUACUAUCCUGAUGAACUAUCUAACUUGACUUCUGAGAAGUAACUAUUAAAUGGAGAGAAGAAACCAUGAAAUGUAAGAGCGAGUUUGAAUGCUGGUAUCAUAAUCUGAUCGUAGUCAUGCAUCAUAAUUAAAUGUUAAUUUAAUUGUGGGCUUCGGAUGUCAUGUUUGGAAUUCUCAGUUUCAAUCCAGUUUUUAUUAAACAAUGAAGAACCUUCUGAAGGAUUCAGAAUAACAGUUCAACAAAUCAAGUCAACAAACAGGGAUCCACUUUAAGGUAAGAAAGAGAAAAUAGUGGGCAAAAGCUGAUAGAGUGCACUGGAUGCAGGCAGAAUAGUCAGAGGAAAACCAAUAGGGCAUGAUUUGGAGAGACAGUAUCUUUCACACAACCAAUAGCAUUUGGAGAAAAUGAACAAGCUUUCAAGCACUUAAAUGCUUCCGCAGGUCUGGCAAAGAAAACAAAAAACUUGAAGCUUUGUCCGUCCUGUAAAGAAAUUAGCGUUUAACUUAAGAUAAUCACCUGGACAAUUAGGGAGACAAAAAGGUGAACUCCUUAGCCAUAACGGAGCAUCUGGGGAUACAAACAAAAAGUCAAGAGUUAAUGUGCCCCUGCAAGCCAGAGAGAGAGGGAGUGGGAGCUUAGAAAGAGCUCUUGGGAAAGGUGGGUACCACCAAACCGUUGCCUCUGCUGGCUCCACGGGUUUUAGUGCCUGGGAGAACUCUGAAUUUAAUGUCCCAAAUAUUUGAGUAGUGUCCUCUGGGGCAACUGGUACAUUAGGACUCAGAAAAUUAAUUGCCAGACUUGCACCUAAUUGUACAACAAAGCAGUAAACCAAUUCUGGAAAACCACAGUGAGGACUAAUUCAGAAGUGUCUUAACACAGAAUACGAAGAACGUUCUUUCCUCCUCUCAGCUCCAGAUUUCUACCCCAAAUGUUAAAGAAGAAACCUUAAACUUGUCUGAAUUACAAGCAAAACUGUCAGCCUCCCUCAAAAUGGGGAAAGAAAGUACUUCUGAAAUGCUUAUGCAUUAUAUAACAUGUACCCAUAUAUCAUUUAUACGGACAUUAGCAACUUGUGUUAUUUCCUCAUUUUGGAGGUGAUGCAUUAAAAGUGAAAAUGCCACUACUGCCAUUUUCUUCUUACAUAAAGCAGCUUUGUGUCUACAGUGCCUGUGUGCAGAUCUUCUCCAUGAUUUUCAAAAAGCUGAUUGAAGGCCAUUGCAGUAGCUUGGGUAGGGUGGCCAAACAGAUGAAGAUGGCAUAUAAAGAGCCUGGUUGGCAGCAAUGCCAAUUUCAUGCACAUGCCCUGCCUUGAUUAAAGUAGAGAUGUUUGCAUAUGUCUUGUGUCCAAAGGCAUUUUUGAUGCACAUCUCCUGCUGAGCCAGCAAAGCUCCUCUCACGCCUAUUGCUUUUGCAUAGCAGAUACACAUUAAUGGAAGCAGUCAGAGCAUGCAUCUACCUGGUUCAUAAUUUGCACAUCUCUGGAAAUAUCCUUAAAAUGCAGACGAAGUUUAAAAAGAAAUAGUAGAGAGUUGCAAAAAAUCCAGAUUAACAGUUGAAAGUUGAAAUAGUUUAUCCUCUUACACAGGGGUAUUAAUUACAAAGCGUAUCUUCAGUCUCAUUUGCAGAGUUUCCCUUUCGCUAUCUGGAACCUGAAGCAGUAGAUUAAUGAGAGAGGCUGGGAAGGUGCCACCUUGUAAGGAGCUGCAUGGAAACGAACCACUUAAAAGGCACAAACAAGUUUUAUUGCAACUGUCAAACCUAGGAACCAUGUAAUGUCCUACUAUAGAAUAUACUGUAACUAAUGAACUAUUUACACACAUUUAUUGUGCUGUUGUGUUUUGUUUUCAGAUGUCCAUAUGUAAGAAAACAUUUUGAAUUUUCUGCUAAAGAUAUCCAAAUUAACAUCUAAAGGAGUUUUUCCCCCCUUUUUAUAUUGUCUCUGGGUUAUAUGGGUGCUGCGAGGCUGCUCAGCCCAUUCUGUAGAGAUUCCUGCAUAAAUGUUAUUAAUAGAGUGCAGGAGAGGAUGAUAGAUAUGAGUCUUACAGAAAUGAAGCUAAUACUGAGACUCACUGUUUUCAUUUCCUUGUGCUUUUGCAUUUCAAUUUCAUAGCACUGAAACUCUUGGUGGGCAUAGUGUAGAUGGAUGGGUUGAUGGUGGAACUGGAAGAUCUUGGUGGUCUUUUCCAACCUUUAUGAUUAUUUGACUCUGUGACUUCAGAGAGGACAAAACACCACUCCUAUUCACAAUGAAGGAGCCACCUCCGAUAGCAAGGCUUUGCCACCACCGCGGGACACCGAGUGCCGUGAGCGGUGCUGAACUGAGCAAUGAGGAGGAGAUGGCUGCACACAUAGCAUGGAAGCUUUGACUUUAUGGUGUCUCCAACUCAGAAAAGCCUGCUUGUGGACCCAAAGCCCAGAGGAGAUACUUGCUAUAACUGCCUAUAAAAGGAGAAUGUGGAUUGAUGCAAACUCCACUGACAUGGAUGGGAUUCUUUCUUUGUGAUUCAGUGAGCUUUGGAUCAGUUCUGGAGAAGGAAAUUGAACAGUUAUCAAGCAAAUCUAGUCUUACAUAAACAAAAAUGCCUCCUACAAAAUCCAGAGGGCAUGCUGUCAUCCAGCACAAGUCUCACCUAUCAAAAAGGAAAAACGUACUGAACUGAGGGAUCCAGCAUGGAACGAGAUGACAGGUGAGGCACAGCAACACAAAUAGGCAGCAGUGAAUUGGACAAAUCUGCCACCUGCAAGCAGAGAGCAUGAGCUCAGCUAGUGCAAGAAUCUGGUGGCUCUGUGCUGCCCUGCUGGAAGGUCUCCUGACGCCUCCGGACUCCUGCUUCCCUGUAACCACUCCAGUCUCUUCCUGUCACAAUGAAAUCAUUCCUGCUGCAGUGAAGGGAUUAAUUAGGUCUACCAGUACUUCACUACCCUCAAUCCUAACUGAAAAUCAGACAGCUUUUCCUGUUUCGCACGUCUGUGCUCAGAGAUGUGACUGACCUAACGCUUGGCACCUUAGAAAAAUCAUGCCCCAGUGUGGAUCAAGACUCAGGAAACAAAUCCUCUCCAUAACUGCGCAGAGCAGGGCAUAAGCUAAUGCCAGAAUGAUGUGAUGCUUGACGCUUUGACCUUGCUUUCUGUGCAAGACUCUCCAAGCUUCAUACCACUGGGAGCGCAUCAUUUGUGACGAGCAAAAAAGUCAGAGCAACUGGUUCUUAAAAGAUUUGUCAUAGUUUUGCUUUAAAAAUAAUUCAUCUCAUAGCUGAAUUCAGUAUUUUGGGUCAGUUAUAAUUGAAUCUGCUCAGACAGAGAAGUUAUAUGAGACUAAUUACCUACUGUCUCUACUCGAAGUAAAUAUUAAAGGCAAGAAAAAUAAACAUGGGCUGAAGUGUGAUAUGCAAAUCACAUUGAUAACUAUCAGGUUAAGACCAUGAAUUUAUAUUCUUUUAAUCAUUAUGAGGUUUAGAUGGUAUCUCCAGCAAAGAAAAGUCAGUAUGAUGGUAUAUGACUGUCUAUGAUUUGGUCCCUAAUUGCAAACAACAAAAAUACAUUAACCUGCUUGUAUCCUGUGUCUCAUUAUUGUCAUAAAAAUGAUAAGAAAAUUCCUUCUUUGUGAAAUCCAAGCUGCUUUACUCUUUUCAAGGACUGCUUUUGUAAGAAAGGAGAGUAAGGCUUAGGUCACUUAUACUGAAUAUAAGGUAGAGGGAGAUGUUUCAGAAGCAGAGCACUUUAAACAUCUUUAUUCCUACCAAAGUUAAUAAAGUGAAGCCAAUUCUGAGCACUUCUUCAAGCUGCAAUGGAUUUGCUAUUAGUUUUCCUGCAUGAAAAUAUGAUGAAGAACAUAAUUGGAGAAAAGAUAGUUCGAGAAAUAACUUCACAAUGGCAUUACUCUCAAAGAAAAGACAAAAUCAAAAUAUCCUGGGUCUGGUUAAGGCAGGCAAGGACUUAAAAUGAGACUGGGCAUGAAAGGGAUGGAGAAAAGAAUGGGGUGUAAGUUAUGACAUUUUCACCUUUUCAUAUGCAAAUUCUUGAUGAAAAAUCCUUAGAAAAAGAAGCUAGAGUAACUUUCAAAGAUCAGAACUACCUUCUUUUCCUUUUCUCCUUUUUCCUUUUCCUUCCUUUUUUUAACUUUUUUUUUUUUUUUUAAACUUUUCUUCUCUGUUCCUGCAGGGAAGUGUUUAUAGGGACACAUGAGAUCCUGACAGACAUUUCCACUGACCCUCUUACAUGAGAUUUGGCUCAACCGCUCUCCUCUAAGACGGUCUGUGAUUUUGGCAGCCCGAGGCCCAGGGUCCCUUCCAGGGCUGCUGGGCCUGCAGCCACCAUACUGACAUUGGCCCCUUGUAACUGGGAACAGUUAGUGGGAGCUCCUAAAAAUACACAGAAGCAAACAAGGAGCUAAUGCUGCUGCUUUGUGCUCAGAGAAGAUGCAUUAUUCAUACAGUACAUAGACAAAAUAGAGAGAAGAUGCCUGGCAAAGCCCCCAGAAUGGCUUAGUUACCCUCGAGUAAAAACUUCUAUUUGUUGAGUAGACUCCAUAAAUAUAGCAGGACUCCUGAAAUGUCCAGAUGUUUCUGAGCAGAUGAAGAAUGUUCUCUUUCUGAAAGCUUACUGAAUUUUUUAUUAUCUCAUGCACUGUUUGCGUGGGCAGGUCUUCUGAGUGAGUCAGAGCAAACAGCAAUCACUGCUGCAGGUAUCCAGCGAGAGAGGACAAUUCCUUAACCUGGGAGCUCCUAAAGAGGUCCUAACGUGCAGAGUGCUGAUACAUACACAGAAAAUAAUCACUGAAUCAAUGAGCUAAACUUCUCUGAGGGACCUUAACGUAGCCGUGCUGUAAAGAAAGGAUUACUUAGCAUUGAUAGCCAUGCCCUCAGAUAUAGCCGUGGUGGUGUGCUCUCAGGCACACAGACCUCGCUCUUCCAUGGGAGACACAAUGCCAUAGGAAGAUUCUGGAGUUAAGGCAGAUAUUGAGUUAGCCCUCUCUAUUGAAUUGGAGUUUUUGCAGAUGGGAAAUAGUUUCUUCUCCAUGGUAAUUCUUUAGUAAUGCCGCUCCACUUGGACCAAUUUAAACUGGAAGAAAAAGGUCUGCCUGUGAUAUCUCUGCCUCAGUAGGACAGCAUGACCAGAUUUAUAUCUUUACCUUGCAUUUUUGUCCGGAGGGCUUACGCUUUCAUCUGAUUAUGCUCUCUCUUGUGAGAUUCUCUCUAUGCUUAAAAUAGAAAAUACCACUAACCCCAGGACUGCUGAUAGGGCCGGAGUGCCUCCAAACAGCAGUCUUCUGCGUUCACUCUCCCUUACACCAACCCUGCAUCUUCUCUAUUUCUGCUACUACCACCAACUUAGUGCCAGCCAUAUGUAUUUAAGGGGUUGAGCUGGCUUCCUUGACUUGAUAAUCAAUGUGUGAUUAUUUUGUGGUUUUCCAUGUGGAUUUUAGUUUCUCCAGUUCCUGCUUCUAUUGCACACUAAAGAUUUCAUUUACUCGAAUGCUGCUUUUGUAUGCUUUCUUUAUGGAGCAUAAAAGAACCUAGAAUGAUUUUUGAGUGUGUCUAUACGCUUGUUAUAUGUAUUUGUUCAUGCUUUUCUGAAGCUACACACACCUGCACGUAUAUAUGUAUUUACAUUCCUGUAACUGUGUGUAACCAAAAUGAGAUGAUGAGCUGAUGAAGACCACCAGCAAAUAAUAUAAAAUAAUAUAGUAGUGCAACCUUAAUGCAGUGUUCAGAGUUGCACCUUGACUCCAGCCAGGACUGAUCAGACUCUGCUUAGUUCUGAAACAUCAGUCACUGUGUAUGACAGCCUCCCUCACCCCUUCUCUCCCUUUGCUCUUGUAAUGCAUCCUUGCAUGUAAGCCAGCUUGAGCAGCUGGAAGCUUGACUGCAACCUAACCCCAUUUUGAAUCAUGCCCAAGAUGCAACAGCCAGAUUUCUUACUGCACUAUUUUAAAGCAUAGAUGCAAGAGGCAUCGGCAUCUAUGUUUUGUGGCCCAGCAAAUGUCAUGGCAAGGCAAGUGGGAUGGAUGGCUCCUCCCCAGGUGCAGGGUUGCAAAUCCAGUUCACCCCUUCCCUACCCCUCAAGCCAUGUGGCAGGCUGUCUGGAAGCAUAGCAUUGUUCAUCACAUUAAUGUUCAGCUGUCGUGGAUGUGAAGAGGAAGUCAAGGGCUCACAGAACAGAAGAGAUGGACAGAGCAGACCUUUGAGGAGGAACAGCUUUGCAGCUUAGCAGUCAGCACACGACCUGGGGAAAGCCAACAAGGAGCUGGGAGCACUUCUUAGACACACAACAUUAAAAAGCUGUUACGUAAAACCCAGAAACCAUGCAGGGUCAAGAGGCAGGACCUGAAGUUUCUCUUGCCAGCCCUGUGCUCACCUUCAUCUUCCCUGCAUCAUCACUGAUAGCUCUCCUGUCUCUGUGCAGUAAGGUGCCCUUGCCAGGAUAUCUGUCAUUUUCAUCAGUUCCCAUCGCUCAGCUCUUCAAAACUUCCUACUAGUGUCAUUUAGGCUCUCUCCUUCUCAUUGGCUCCUUCUAGCUGCUAACAUAUACCAGCAAUUUUCACAGUCGCCUGCUUUCCAUCUGUUACAGUUUCACUGAUGUUUUUUUGUCUGACUUCCUCUAUGAUCUCAGCUUGCUUUUGUUGAAGUUAUACACUUUUCCAUCCUUGCUGUGAGUUUUUGGAUUUUUAGGCAUCAAAUAAAAAAUCUCUAAACAGUUCUUAACCACAUUUCACCCUAUUUCAGUUACAUCUCACAGAUGAUUCAAUUCAUAACAGCUUUCGGUUUGGUGACUUCAGAGGUACACAGAUAAUUGAUUGGGAUUUUUUCCUCAUGGUAUAUAAUGAAUGUAAUCCAGUCACGCUCUCUUGCACCUUAAGUAUUUCCUAACUUCCAGGCACGUGGUCAGUCCUUAAGCAGUAGUGCUCCCAGCUCUGCCAGCAACACUUUAAAAUGCCCUUUAUAAUUUCAAACAGUUCUGAUGCUGGAGUAUCCCAGCACAAGCCCUCCUGCACCUGCCAGACCCUUGCCAGCCCACCUGAAAGCUCCCCUCCCAGAGCAACAGGAAAGGAGCUCCAUUUCCACUUGGUUGUGCAGUUUCCCUGUCCUCAGCCAAGGGGAUCCUUCACCAUGUGUGCUGACCCUCUGGGCUGUGAACCUGCUUCAGUGUUGUCUCCCUCUAAGUGGGCCACGGAACUUUGAUUCUAGCAUUUGCUGCCCUCUUGUUUUUACGCUUUCCAAAUCAUCGUUACUGCUUUGCACAUACAAGUUAUAUGAAGCUUUUGGGUUUCAGUGGCAGAAAGGCCAAGUAUAUGUUCAUAACCGAACAGUUCCAGUUCUUUGGCAAUUUAGAACACCUCUUUCAGUCCCUUGGUGUCCUGACCUCACAUGGAGCUGAUUCAAAUUUUUAAUUCAUCCCGUGGCUAAAAGCUUCUUGUCCUCAGUGGCAGAAUGGUUAGAAGGCAUUUCAAGAUUGCCUGAAGACAACCGCAUUCAGGACUACUCUUUGGCAGGGAACAUCUCAAGUCAUGCAUCCCUCACGGCCCUGUCUCCAGAGUUCACGCUUGGUAUGCCUACACUUGAGAGAGGAGCUGCAGGCCCUCAGGGUUUUCUUUCAUCACUAAGGACAAAGGCAAGAGAUGCCAAGCAGCAUCAGAAGAGCCAAUCACAGUGCUAUGAACAAAAGGUCCCCUAAUGCCUUGGAUAAGACCAGCAAUUUCACAGUCUGCAGAAGGGAACGACUGAGGAAAUUCUGUGGAAUUCAGUAGAAAUCCUGAACAUUUUUCAUUACGAUAAUAAAAGAAACGAAGCGUUAAGUGGGAAGGAAAGGUGCUGAAGGCUACAAGAAAAGCAUUGCCUGCUUUACCAGUAACAGUGGUUCUGAGCAGUAGGCCUAGGUGCCUAGAGAAAAAGGAGCGUGGGCUUCGCUGAGAGGCCUACAAUGGCACCGAGGAGCCUUCAGAGAUGAAUGGCAGCUGAUUUCCCACAGAUCGAUGAUUUCCUGAGACAGAUUUCAUUCUGAAGCAGCGAACACAAAAUUUACAUAGCCAGAGUAUUUUUUACUGAAGUGAAAAUUGAAACAGCUAAACUGUGUUUAUGCAUGUGUAUGCAUAUGUAUCAACUUUCCUUCCUCACUUGACAUGAUUGCAAAAGAAAUUUCCAUCCUGACUUUUCACACCCACAUGGGUACAGGAAGAAGAAAUUUAAAGGUUGCUUGAAUUUAUGUAUCCACUGUGAAAUUCCUGAGUACUGAAAAGUACAUGUUGGUGAGGAGAUAUGAGUGCUGUGUAAUUUACUGUGUGAGUGCUUCCAAGUGAAAUGUUACUGUACAUCACAUCGCACUUCUUACUGAGUGGGAGUUCACCUUGCUUAUCUUUGGCCAAAGUUUUGCAGUGACAUUCGCUGUGCAAAACCUACCCUUUACCUUAGCUAAGUGGUGCUAUAGAAGCAAUAGUUAGCAGCUGGAAACACCUAAACAGCAUGGAGCAAUUUCCUGUGUUUAACAGACAAGAAUGUAAUUUUACCUAUAUAGUUAUUUGUUUCAAUUUUAAGUUAUUCAUUGGAAUCAAAUCAUGAGAAUAGAGUACUUCCAGUAAUUUCCUCAAUUAGGAAAUGAAACGUGAAAUUCUUAAAACCAGUUUUACAAUAAGUAGUGGAGGAGAUGCUCAAAAAACCUCUGACUGAGACUUAUUCAAUGCCAGAGAUACUCAGAAUGGGCUUUAAACCAUAAAAUUCACACGUUAACUUGAAUUUCAUUUCUGACUGGUUGGCAUGACUGGCUUAUCACCAUGUCUGUGUGUUUGCAUGUCUAAGUGUAAAUAAGUGCAUUUUCCUUGCCUUAUAAAGACAAUGUCAUAGAUUUGACUUUUCUGCCUUGGGCAGCAAGCCCCACAGAUGAUUAUAUGGGGAUAAAACAUAUGUCAAAGAAAAUGUUUCUUAGCUCUCUUGAAUGCAGUGCCAAUUAUGUCAGGCUAGCUCUUACUGCUUUAAAUUAAAACCAUACUUCAUCUCAGAAUUAAUUUAAUUUUCUGGAAUAAAUGCGCUUAAAAAAUCCAACUUGGAUUCUCCAAAGGAUAAGGGUCAGCUAUUCAGGGCAUCUGAAGAAUAGCAUAAGAGUCAUAUUCAGGCAGCCUAAAUUCAACCCGAAUCACUGUGCUCAGGAUUUCUUAUCAACCUGCUGUAAGUCUGUAGAGCACAGGGACUAUUCGACUCCUGGACCGAGAUGGAAUUUAAAUCCUGGAUAUUCAGCAAACCAUUUCCUAAUUCUUUAUGUUACUGAAGGAAGUGACCCUAGCAAGACUUGAUAGGCAUUAAAGGGUGGCCUAUUUAAACAAAGGGCAGCCCUCAGUUGUCAGUGAUUUUCACUAGUCUUAAAAGAGGAAAACAAUCCUUAUAUCUAUUGAAAAUCUACUUCUGGAUCUGCCCCCUAAAACAGUAUUAUCAGAAAGAUGUAUUUCCCUUGCUUUUGUAAUGCAAAGGAAUCAUAGACAUCUUUGCUUUAAGAGGCAAGAAAGGUAACUAAUUCUAUACUGUCAAAAAUUUUAUCUUUUGAAAAGUAGGGUGAUGAAUCAUAGCCAAAAAAAAGCCCCGUGGCCCCGGCUCCAAAAACCAAACAAUCCAGCAAAAAUAAAGAACAAACCAAAUCCUAUUGGUUUGUCAUCCAUCUGUGUUUCAAACAAUCAGAAACAACAGCAUCACGUAUCUUCUGGUCUAUACCUCCCUGGCCAUUCUAAUUAAUACUGGCUCAAGGCAGUAUUUAUUUCUUAGCUCGUGAGAUAAUAGGUUAUUGACUGACCUGUGAGGUAAUAGCCAAUUCUGUGUCUCACGUAGGAAGUGAUUGUGUGGAUUGAAGUUUGCCAUUGAUUUUGCUUCCAUACACUCAGGGGGACCAUCUAUAUAACUGUCACAUAAAUAAGAAGAAAAGGCCCUUAGUGACAUUUACUGACUUCUGAAGAUUCCUCACCUGCAUCCACUUGACAUUACUGUGGCCAGACCAAAAACCCACUGAACUCACCACUAACUUCAGUGCAGUUCACCAGACCUUCCUUAUAUGAAGCAGGGAAAUAGGAAGAGCUGACAACCUGAAGUCAUGGACUGGUGCAACAAUAAUGUAGAUUCUACAUCUUCUUCAUCCUGUGCUAUUUGCCAUCUCCUAACUGCACGGAUUCUGAGGACCCAUGAGAAGCAUGAAAUAUCUGUAGUGGUAUCUUAAAGGACUGAAAAAAAGCAGAGAGAGAUUAAAAUCAGAUACCAGUGGAGCUUUAAGUGCAAUGAAUUGAAAGGAAAUAAGGAAAGGUGAGCAUACGAUCACAAACACAGAACUUGGUACAAUUUAGGAGCUCCAUUCUACUGAAAGCUUCAGGAGUAGACAAACUGGUGUCACUGCAGAAUAUUUGGUAAAAAAGUACUUGUUUCAUCUGUAUCGUUUUGGUUAUUCAAAAUCAUAAACAGUGCCUUGGAGAGCAGAACGAGGAUAAAUAGAAAAGUUUCAGCUUUUCUGAAACACGUAUUUCUGUAAUGUGCUUCAGAAAGAAGGAGGUUUCAGUGAGUCAGUGUGCUGCUGCAAGAGUUGGAGUUCCUCUGGUAAAUUUUUGUCACGGUGGUAAUUGCAGAAAUAAGCAGUUCCUCCACCACUCACCCAUUUAUACCUCUCUCAAUAUUAAAUUAACUAACUCCCUUUUGGGAGCCAUUUGGAGAAUGAUCAGCAAAAACCAAACGCAGAAAAUUACUGAAAUCUCUGUUGCAUUCUUCUGUUGGUAUUACUGGGAAAUAUCAUCCGUUUCUUCUGGCCAGUGAUUUUCCCAGAUGCACAGAUCAUUUGCUGGCUGCCCUGCUUAGACCCAUGUCCUGUCUAAAGCCAAAGCUUACAAAGGCUCUUUGAAAAGUCUUUUUGAGACGGUGUGCUGGCUAAUUAAACAUUUAUUAAACAUCAUAGUAGCUUGAGAAUUAAUUUCACCUUCCUGUUUCUCAAGCCUCAGCUCUUUUCUAAGCUUUGACUGUACCCCUGACUUCAGCUGCUUGCCUGGCUUGGUUAGGAUUUCCCAGUUUGCUUGUACACCUGUGUGUCAUUUGCAGGGAAGAUGCUGCUCAUUAAGAUACACGAUGGGGAUCUUAAAAGGCAUUCAUUUAUUUGACAAAAAGGCAUAUUGGAACAGUACUACUAGGUGGCACGUGCACCUUGUUUUUAUUAAGUCACGUAGUAGGGAAAAAAUUAAUAUAAAAUCCAAGGAGAACAUUGAAAGCUAAUUUGCCUUAAGGUACAGAAGCUUCUGAAAAACUGCUAUUUUUUAUUCAAAUAUUACAGGGACAUAGCAUUUUUAUUCUCUCAUUUAUGUCAUUUAGGAUAGCUAAUGAUAUAUUAUUACACGACCCAAAGCCAGCGUUGCGUUCUCUUCCUUGUAUCUGGUACUGCUUUUCCAACUACUUUGUUCCACCCAAACCAUUUCAGAUACAGUCUCAAUUACAGAAAAUAAUAGGAUUCCUGAGGAGGUGUAAAUGCAUACCGUGGCAUGGCUGUCCUGCACUGAAAUAGCUGAAGAGCCUUUCUGCAUUUCCACAACAUGGGCUGAGGGUGCUCACGUGCCUUCCAUAGAACAAUCUUCAAGGAUUUUGUGCGACAUCAACGUGCUAAAUACUAUCUGCCUGAACUGGGGAGGAUGUCUCACAGUUUAAUUGAGCACAUUCAUUACAAUUGCCAAGGAAGGACCAAUAUCUGCUUUCUUUUCCUGUGAAUUCAAUACAGACCCAACAGCAACUGUAAGAUCAAAUCCCAAGGCCAGGUAUGGGGCAUUUGUUAUAUGAUAUUGAAUUUUUCAGCCAAGGCUUGAGCAGGUCAUGCUAAUUAAUGAAGAAUUUUCAGAUGGAUGCCCAUGAUUUCAAUGAAGCCAAUGCUUUUGGGAAAAAAUAGUCUGCAACGUCAAAAGAAAUUGGUUCUAUUUUGUCAGAAUAAAUAAUUUAAAUGAAGUACACAGUAUUUGUAACUUGACUGGUAUCCUGUCUAUU